rnacentral:rRNA from 1 species
UACGUAGGUGGCAAGCGUUGUCCGGAAUUAUUGGGCGUAAAGCGCGCGCAGGCGGCCUUUUAAGUCUGAUGUGAAAGCCCACGGCUCAACCGUGGAAGGUCAUUGGAAACUGAAAGGCUUGAGUACAGAAGAGGAAAGCGGAAUUCCACGUGUAGCGGUGAAAUGCGUAGAGAUGUGGAGGAACACCAGUGGCGAAGGCGGCUUGCCAGAACGCGCUCGACGGUGAGGGAUGAAAGCUGGGGAGCAACCAGG